rnacentral:rRNA from 1 species
AGGGUUCGAUUCUGGCUCAGGAUGAACGCUGGCGGCGUGCUUAACACAUGCAAGUCGAACGGAGUUAUCAAUGAAACCUAGUGAUUUGAUAACUUAGUGGCGGACGGGUGAGUAACGCGUGGGUAACCUGCCUUAUCCAGGGGGAUAACAGUGAGAAAUUACUGCUAAUACCGCAUAAGCGCACGGUAUCGCAUGAUACAGUGUGAAAAGAUUUAUCGGGAUAAGAUGGACCCGCGUCUGAUUAGCUGGUUGGUGAGGUAACGGCCCACCAAGGCGACGAUCAGUAGCCGGCCUGAGAGGGUGAACGGCCACAUUGGGACUGAGACAUGGCCCAAACUCCUACGGGAGGCAGCAGUGGGGAAUAUUGCACAAUGGGGGAAACCCUGAUGCAAGCGACGCCGCGUGAGUGAAGAAGUAUUUCGGUAUGUAAAGCUCUAUCAGCAGGGAAGAAAAUGACGGUACCUGACUAAGAAGCCCCGGCUAACUACGUGCCAGCAGCGGC